rnacentral:rRNA from 1 species
GGAGAGGAUCCUAAGGCCGGCGGGAGAAGUGUUGUUAAGGAACUCGGCAAAAUGACUCCGUAACUUCGGGAGAAGGAGUGCUGCGCAAGCAGCCGCAGAGAAAUGGCCCAAGCAACUGUUUAGCAAAAACACAGGUCUAUGCGAAACCGAAAGGUGAGGUAUAUGGGCUGACGCCUGCCCGGUGCUGGAAGGUUAAGGGGAGAGCUUAGCGCGAGCGAAGGUUUGAACUUAAGCCCCAGUAAACGGCGGCCGUAACUAUAACGGUCCUAAGGUAGCGAAAUUCCUUGUCGGGUAAGUUCCGACCCGCACGAAAGGCGUAAUGAUUUGGGCACUGUCUCAACAACACACCCGGUGAAAUUGAAAUACCAGUGAAGAUGCUGGUUACCCGCGCCAGGACGGAAAGACCCCAUGGAGCUUUACUCCAGCCUGAUACUGGGAUUCGGUAUUGCAUGUACAGGAUAGGUGGGAAGCUAAGAACUUAUGGCGCCAGCUGUAAGGGAGCCGGUGUUGGGAUACCACCCCUGCAGUACUGGGUUUCUAACCUGCGCCCGUGACCCGGGCGGGGGACAAUGUCAGGCGGGGAGUUUGACUGGGGCGGUCGCCUCCGAAAGGGUAUCGGAGGCGCUCAAAGGUCUCCUCAGGAUGGUUGGAAACCAUCCAGAGAGUGCAAAGGCAGAAGGAGGCUUGACUGCGACACCGACGGGUGGAGCAGGUACGAAAGUAGGACUUAGUGAUCCGGUGGCAUAAAGUGGGAUUGCCAUCGCUCAACGGACAAAAGCUACCCCUGGGAUAACAGGCUUAUCACUCCCAAGAGUUCACAUCGACGGAGUGGUUUGGCACCUCGAUGUCGGCUCAUCGCAUCCUGGAGCUGGAGCAGGUUCCAAGGGUUGGGCUGUUCGCCCAUUAAAGCGGUACGCGAGCUGGGUUCAGAACGUCGUGAGACAGUUCGGUCCCUAUCCGGCGCGGGCGCAGGAUAUCUGAGAGGAGCUGUCCUUAGCACGAGAGGACCGGGAUGGACCGUCCGCUGGUGGACCGGUUGUCAUGCCAAUGGCACGGCCGGGUAGCCAAGACGGGAAGGGAUAAACGCUGAAGGCAUCUAAGCGUGAAGCCCCCCUCAAGAUGAGAUAUCCAUACUCGAAAGAGUGAGAGACCCCUUAGAGACGAUGAGGUAGAUAGGGCAGGGAUGGAAGCACAGCGAUGUGUGGAGUUGACUGUUACUAAUCGGUCGAUAGCUC